UACGUAGGGUGCGAGCGUUAAUCGGAAUUACUGGGCGUAAAGCGUGCGCAGGCGGUUUUGUAAGCCAGAUGUGAAAUCCCCGGGCUUAACCUGGGAAUGGCAUUUGGGACUGCAAGGCUCGAGUUUGGCAGAGGAGACUGGAAUUCCUGGUGUAGCAGUGAAAUGCGUAGAUAUCAGGAGGAAUACCGAUGGCGAAGGCAGGUCUCUGGGCUGAAACUGACGCUCAUGCACGAAAGCGUGGGGAGCAAACAGG
rnacentral:rRNA from 1 species